GACGAACGCUGGCGGCGUGCUUAACACAUGCAAGUCGAACGGAAAGGCCCUGCUUUUGUGGGGUGCUCGAGUGGCGAACGGGUGAGUAACACGUGAGUAACCUGCCCUUGACUUUGGGAUAACUUCAGGAAACUGGGGCUAAUACCGGAUAGGAGCUCCUGCUGCAUGGUGGGGGUUGGAAAGUUUCGGCGGUUGGGGAUGGACUCGCGGCUUAUCAGCUUGUUGGUGGGGUAGUGGCUUACCAAGGCUUUGACGGGUAGCCGGCCUGAGAGGGUGACCGGCCACAUUGGGACUGAGAUACGGCCCAGACUCCUACGGGAGGCAGCAGUGGGGAAUAUUGCACAAUGGGCGGAAGCCUGAUGCAGAAACGCAGCGUGCGGGAUGACGGCCUUCGGGUUGUAAACCGCUUUCGCCUGUGACGAAGCGUGAGUGACGGUAAUGGGUAAAGAAGCACCGGCUAACUACGUG
rnacentral:rRNA from 1 species